rnacentral:lncRNA from 1 species
AAUUUUUUUCCCCAAGAAGCUCCAAGCUGCUACCUGAGGAAAUUACAUGAUAUCAAGGCUUUAAACAUCACAGUUCAAAAAUCAGGGUUGAAGUUUCAUUAUUCAGAAAUCAGGUAUUGAUUUAAUAAUUUAAAUAUUAAAUAUUUCACUCAAAUUCAAUUUCAACCAUAAUUCAUUUCUCUCUCUACCAUCUAUAUUUUCUCCCUUCUCUCUACCACAAAACACCACUGUCGCCAUCGGCAGUGGUGAUUCACGAUGGUGGUGAAGCUCUAAAGCAACCUUACCGAUGACUAUUCUGUUUAUUUUCUCUCUAUGGUGUAAGGCAGAGAUAGCGUCGUGAUAAUAUGGUGUGGUGUGCUACGCGUUUGGCCUUCCUCUGCCAUCUUUUCCUUAAUCUUUCUCUCAUAGUCUCACUUUCUUUGCGUGUUUUUUGAGUAUGGAUUAAAGGGUUUUUGUCUCCAAGAUUUUCUCAAAACUGCUGAAACAAAAGGAAGGCAAAGAGGCACAAAUAUUGCUUGCGUGUACUUACUUUCAUUUUCCUGCAAAACCAAAGGUUCAAUUCUUGUUUCCGAAGCUACAUUUUAUACAAUUUACUAAUUAGCUUUGAUUUUGGGGAAGAGUAAGUCUGCAUUUGGCGCCAUAAGCUUGAAUUCAUUGUUUAGAAUCAGGAUUAUGAAAAUUUUAAAACAUUAAUUACCAAAACCCCAUUUGAUGCUGUCAAUAUGACAAAAGGAGAUUUUAAUUUUUUUUUUUUUCCCUUUUGAUAUAUGGGAUAUUGCUACUGGAUUAAGUUUUUAAAAAUGGAAGCAACAAUGUUAAUGUAUCUUCAGAGCUAGUUUUUCCUUUUCACCAUUGAAAAGGGCAGCAUCAAGUGGGGUAUAUUUAUAGUGAUACAGGUGGUAGGAAUGUGCCAUUGCUACCUAUUGCCUAGUACCUUCUAGUCUUCCUUUGUGGGGAAAGUAAUGUUGAUUUUUUGAUUUAGUACAUAGAAGUCAUUAGACAAUUUGUGUGGUGGUGUGGUGCAGUCGGUCAUUGUAUUUUGGUGAUCAUUUUUGUUGUUGUUGGCUAAGGACGAGGUGUAAUGGUGAUUGUGACCAACUAUUUGGUUGCUCUAUGACCAAGUAUUAGUAAUGAAAUGGGAUUGCGGGUGGAGUUUUUGGUGUGUGUGACCAAUGAUUUGGCCUGUGAUCUUUAAAAAAAUAAUCCGUGACUAAUAAAUGUGAAAAUAUGUGAUUCAUAGAUAAAUUGUGACCAAUAAUUUGAAUGAUCUGUGACCUCAAAAUAAUCUGUGAUCUACAAAAUUUUUGAUUUGAUACCACGAAAUAAUUCAUGACAAAUUAAUUUAAUGAUACGUGACCAGUAAAUAAAUCCAUGACAUAUAAUUAUGAAUUUGUAACCAUUAAUUGUAUAACUGUGACUUUAUUAUAUUUAUUUAAUAAAUAUUUUUAAUUGAUUAAAUAUAUACCUGAAUUUUGAAUUUUUAAAUUAUAUUUUUGAAUUGGUGAAAAUAAUAGGAUUAUGAAUUUUUUCCUAUUUUCUCCCCUCCAAUGCGUGUGGAAUAUAGCCAUAUAUAUUUUGGCGGCCCUAUUAUUUUUUUAUUCCAAUCCAAGGCCCAAUUGUGUGUGUUGUAUAGUUAUAAAAAUGGGAAAAAUUCAUAUAUGCCUCAGCACAGAAAACUAAUUCGCAAUUUACUAUGUGAUGGGAAUGUUUUUAAAAAAUAGUAAUUAUAAUAUUAAUUAUUUUUAAUUAUACUAACUUCCCAAAAUAUAACCCGAAAGCCAUGUUGUAACUAAUCCAAUUUGAAUUCAGCCAAAUUCACGUUCUGCAUUUAAUGACUUCCAAAAUCAAACAUGAAUUUUUGGCACAGAUUAUAUUUUGAAACAUCAUCUUCUACAAAUAUAGUUAAAGAUACAUUUUUGGAGAAGUGGUUGCUGGUUUUCGAUUUCUAUUUCGCACCAGAUAUGUUAAAUUGCUCUUUUGGGAUUUGAUUACAAUAUAGAAGAUGAUUUGCAAGAAAUAUAUGUGUACAACGUAUUUGGUAACGAAAUAGGAGAAUCCAUUUUUACAAAAUUAAUCUCCAUUUCUCUGUGUGUGUAUGAUCUCUUUUAUUUGAAUAUAUACAUAAUGAACUAUCUGAUUUUUGCGAAAUUGCACCAGAAAACACAAUGAAAUCAGGCAUGGAAUAAAAUUCUGCUGGAGAUCUAUGAAUGAUCAAUUCAGUGUCUUGGUGGGCGAUUUCGACGAGAGAAUCUGGACAGAUAAUUUUGAUUACAAUAGGAAAUAAGAUCUCGGUAGUUGAGUAGAACAUGUUUUGAUUACUGGAGAGAUAAUUUUGAUUACUGGCAGAGGCAGCAGUAGUUGAGUAGAACAUGUUUCAAAUGAUAAGAUCUCGGUCUCCCUGUUCGAGUUGAUGCUGAUGGUUUAGCAAAAUCUAAAUUCGCUGUUUCUGAUGAAUUUAUUAACCAAUGAUUUGUUUUACUGUAACUUCUUUUGAAAACAGAAAGGUUGAUUUAAAGGUAACUAAAGGGUCCGCCUCUUUAUCUUUUUCCAUUGAUCUAAUGCUGAAAUUAGUAGGAACAAAGGUGAUUUAGAUGGUUGGGAAAUAGGUUUGUUUACUAACUAUAAUUUGGUUCAUUGGAAUUAUGUGCUGUUAUUGUAACAUCAAAUUAGAUUAUUCAUUCACAGAUUUGAAACCAAUAAUUCAUUUUAUUUAAAAUUUUCAGUCCGUUUCCUAUAUGUUGAAAUUUGGCCAAUGCACAUGACUUCCAUAGUGUUUUAGAAUGAGGACAAUAAGUACCUUGAGAAUGCUCUCAUAUUGUGUCUAGAUCUUAAAUUACAGUUUAAAAUUUUUUUAUUUUUUUAUUUUUUUUACCCAGGUGUCCCAGCUUCGCUAGACUAAAUCUUGGACCCCUAGCCACCGGCCCCUCAGUGACUAGCGGAGGUAAACCGCAGGUUGUGCCCUUGUUGGAUCAUAAGUUCCCACCCGAUUUUUACUCCUGGCAUCAAGAGAGCUUUCCUCCAUCGUGAUUGAUCUAUCAACAAAUUGCCCAUUUAUUGGAUCAUAGGUUUCCACCAGGAAUCGAACUCUCCACCCUGAGGUUGCGAGCCCGUCAAAAUGAUUGAUCCACCAACUCGGAUGUGCUCUGGGGGACUUACAGUUUAAAAUUUGAUUGUAUUUAUGGAGGCUGCUGGCCAUUCUCUUGUACUUGGAAGCAUAACAAAAUAAGAAAUAUGUGUCUAUUGUAUAAAUGAUUUCAUCCAAAGACGUUCUUUUUGUGUUUGAAACUGUUGCGUAUUUGCUUUCAACUUAUGCUUUGUUGAAAUGAAAAUUUGG